GAUGAACGCUGGCGGCGUGCCUAAUACAUGCAAGUCGAGCGAACGGACGAGAAGCUUGCUUCUCUGAUGUUAGCGGCGGACGGGUGAGUAACACGUGGAUAACCUACCUAUAAGACUGGGAUAACUUCGGGAAACCGGAGCUAAUACCGGAUAAUAUUUUGAACCGCAUGGUUCAAAAGUGAAAGACGGUCUUGCUGUCACUUAGAGAUGGAGCCGCGCUGCAUUAGCUAGUUGGUAAGGUAACGGCUUACCAAGGCAACGAUGCAUAGCCGACCUGAGAGGGUGAUCGGCCACACUGGAACUGAGACACGGUCCAGACUCCUACGGGAGGCAGCAGUAGGGAAUCUUCCGCAAUGGGCGAAAGCCUGACGGAGCCACGCCGCGUGAGUGAUGAAGGUCUUCGGAUCGUAAAACUCUGUUAUUAGGGAAGAACAUAUGUGUAAGUAACUGUGCACAUCUUGACGGUACCUAAUCAGAAAGCCACGGCUAACUACGUG
rnacentral:rRNA from 1 species